ACUUUUAUGGAGAGUUUGAUCCUGGCUCAGAGUGAACGCUGGCGGCGUGCCUAAUACAUGCAAGUCGAACGAUGAAGCUUUCUAGCUUGCUAGAAUGCUGAUUAGUGGCGCACGGGUGAGUAACGCAUAGGUCAUGUGCCUCUUAGUUUGGGAUAGCCAUUGGAAACGAUGAUUAAUACCAGAUACUCCCUACGGGGGAAAGAUUUAUCGCUAAGAGAUCAGCCUAUGUCCUAUCAGCUUGUUGGUAAGGUAAUGGCUUACCAAGGCUAUGACGGGUAUCCGGCCUGAGAGGGUGAACGGACACACUGGAACUGAGACACGGUCCAGACUCCUACGGGAGGCAGCAGUAGGGAAUAUUGCUCAAUGGGGGAAACCCUGAAGCAGCAACGCCGCGUGGAGGAUGAAGGUUUUAGGAUUGUAAACUCCUUUUGUUAGAGAAGAUAAUGACGGUAUCUAACGAAUAAGCACCGGCUAACUCCGUGCCAGCAGCCGCGGUAAUACGGAGGGUGCAAGCGUUACUCGGAAUCACUGGGCGUAAAGAGCGCGUAGGCGGGAUAGUCAGUCAGGUGUGAAAUCCUAUGGCUUAACCAUAGAACUGCAUUUGAAACUACUAUUCUAGAGUGUGGGAGAGGUAGGUGGAAUUCUUGGUGUAGGGGUAAAAUCCGUAGAGAUCAAGAGGAAUACUCAUUGCGAAGGCGACCUGCUGGAACAUUACUGACGCUGAUUGCGCGAAAGCGUGGGGAGCAAACAGGAUUAGAUACCCUGGUAGUCCACGCCCUAAACGAUGGAUGCUAGUUGUUGGAGGGCUUAGUCUCUCCAGUAAUGCAGCUAACGCAUUAAGCAUCCCGCCUGGGGAGUACGGUCGCAAGAUUAAAACUCAAAGGAAUAGACGGGGACCCGCACAAGCGGUGGAGCAUGUGGUUUAAUUCGAAGAUACACGAAGAACCUUACCUAGGCUUGACAUUGAGAGAAUCCGCUAGAAAUAGUGGAGUGUCUGGCUUGCCAGACCUUGAAAACAGGUGCUGCACGGCUGUCGUCAGCUCGUGUCGUGAGAUGUUGGGUUAAGUCCCGCAACGAGCGCAACCCCCUUUCUUAGUUGCUAACAGGUUAUGCUGAGAACUCUAAGGAUACUGCCUCCGUAAGGAGGAGGAAGGUGGGGACGACGUCAAGUCAUCAUGGCCCUUACGCCUAGGGCUACACACGUGCUACAAUGGGGUGCACAAAGAGAAGCAAUACUGCGAAGUGGAGCCAAUCUUCAAAACACCUCUCAGUUCGGAUUGUAGGCUGCAACUCGCCUGCAUGAAGCUGGAAUCGCUAGUAAUCGCAAAUCAGCCAUGUUGCGGUGAAUACGUUCCCGGGUCUUGUACUCACCGCCCGUCACACCAUGGGAGUUGUGUUUGCCUUAAGUCAGGAUGCUAAAUUGGCUACUGCCCACGGCACACACAGCGACUGGGGUGAAGUCGUAACAAGGUAACCGUAGGUGAACCUGCGGUUGGAUCACCUCCUUU
rnacentral:rRNA from 1 species